rnacentral:rRNA from 1 species
AGAAUCAACGCUGGCGGCGUGCCUAACACAUGCAAGUCGAACGAGAAAGUGGGAGCAAUCCCACGAGUAAAGUGGCGCACGGGUGAGUAACACGUGACUAACCUACCCUUGAGUGGGGGAUAACCUAGGGAAACCUGGGCUAAUACCGCAUAAUACCUACGGGUCAAAGGAGCAAUUCGCUUUAGGAGGGGGUCGCGGCAGAUUAGUUAGUUGGCGGGGUAAUGGCCCACCAAGACAGUGAUCUGUAUCCGGCCUGAGAGGGCGCACGGACACACUGGAACUGAAACACGGUCCAGACUCCUACGGGAGGCAGCAGUGGGGAAUUUGCGCAAUGGGGGAAACCCUGACGCAGCAACGCCGCGUGGAGGAUGAAGCCCCUUGGGGCGUAAACUCCUUUCGAUCGGGAAGAUAAUGAACGGUACCGGAAGAAGAAGCCCGGCUAACUUCGCGCCAGCAGCCGC